UACGUAGGAGGCAAGCGUUGUCCGGAAUUACUGGGCGUAAAGCGCGUGUAGGUGGUGGGACAAGUCUGCUGUGAAAGCGCCUGGCUUAACCGGGCGAGGUCGGCGGAAACUGUCCGACUCGAGGACGGUAGAGGGGGGUGGAAUUCCCGGUGUAGUGGUGAAAUGCGUAGAGAUCGGGAGGAACAUCUGUGGCGAAGGCGGCCCCCUGGGCCGGCCCUGACACUGAGACGCGAAGGCGUGGGGAGCGAACGGG
rnacentral:rRNA from 1 species